rfam:Loxodonta africana unplaced genomic scaffold scaffold_2, whole genome shotgun sequence.
GCCCUGGUAGCACAACGGUUAAGUGCUUGGCUACUAACUGAAAGGUUGGUGGUUCAAACCCACCCAGUGGCA